CACAUCUGGCAUUGGUGGUUCAGUGGUAGAAUUCUCGCCUGCCACGCGGGAGGCCCGGGUUCGAUUCCCGGCCAAUGCAGAGCUGGAGUUUUUGCCACCUUUUCUCUGGAGUGGCUCAGGGAUCGCUGCCGGCCCCUGUACACGGACAGGAGCCCUGAAGGCCUUCCUGAGCCACCUCUGUGCAUUUGGGGGCUGCAGCGGUGACCGGAGUCAACCCUAAGGAUGGUUCCCCCUGCGCCAGAGCAGAAUCUGCCCCGGAGCAUCCUGGCAUCGCUCCUUCCCUCCUGCCCAGCCCUGCAGCUCCUCUGCAGGCACCCAGGCUCCCAGGGUGACAUCGACAGCCAGGCAGCGCCAGAGCUAUCCCUCAGUUGGCCAACGGGGCUCCCAGUGGGCUGUGGCGGGGGUGGGUGGCAGGGAGCAUCCCUGGUUUGGUGGCACCGAGUGGCACUGGCUCGGUGGCAAGGGACAUUACUGAUGGGGGGGGCAUGAUGCCAAUGGGAGGGAGCUGGGGACCCUGUCCUAUCCAGACACGGACAGGCACCAUGGUGACCCACGUGUGCCGUGCCCACGGUGCCUGCACGGGUGCCACCAGAGCCACGGCACGGUGGCGGGUGCCCUCGGACCCAGCGGUGGGGGGCCUGGGGCCGCUGGCUGCAGAGCUGCUGCCUGACAGCGGCCGUGCCGUGUCCCCGCAGACGGACGUGGACGUGGUGGUGGCCGACCUGGUGAAGCAGGUGCACAGCGCCAGCGCCGAGAGCCGGAGGAAGGCCGUGCGCCCCAAGGCGCUGCUGGACAACUGCCUCAAGGUCAUGAGGAUGCUGUACGGCAGGCGCUGUGGCUGGGACUCCACCUAACGCCGCGGAGGGGGCCUCCCCGGGGACCCCGCUCAGCCUCCGGCGAGGAGGGCGAGGGGGGGGCCACGGCGAAGGACGGAGGGGAGCCGCGAAGGAAAACGUCUCCCGCCGGCGCCGCGCGACCGGCUCGACGCCUCUUGCUUUCCCCGGCCCCGAGGAAGCCGCCGCUCCUCUCCCGCGCCGCGGGGCCGCGGCCACCCGAAGGGCAGCCUUGGGGUGCUCCUCUCCGCGGCUGCCCCGCGGCGGGGAGGGCGCCUUGGCACCCCGCUCCCCGCAGGGCGCUGGGCACCCUGGGCACGAGGGACUUGCUGCAGCUCGGCGGCCUCAUCCUGCCCGCGAAGGCAGGUGCGGAGGGGGCGCAGCGGCGCCCUCGGGAAGGCGCGGGACCCUGGCGCCUCGCUGCCCUUCUGCACGGGUGCAGGCUGGAGCGGGGGCACCUGGAUGCAGCCCCCCCCCCCGGGGAAGGUGGCCCCCGGCCGUGUUGGGAGAUGCUGCCUCGUCCCGGCUGCAGCGGGUGUGAUUUUUAUCGCCAGUUUCCUGUCGUUUUGUAUUUUUCCUCAGCUUUCAUUAAAAAAAAUGAAUAAUUUUCUAGCUCUCCUUGUUGCAGAUAAGCUUCCGACUGGGUCACCUAAAGGCUCAGACCUUAACCGAAAUAAAAGACAAGCAGACAGAAGCCCA
rnacentral:tRNA from 1 species